GCCAACGACCAUACCACGUUGAAUACACCAGUUCUCGUCCGAUCACUGAAGUUAAGCAACAUCGGGCGCAGUUAGUAUUUGGAAGGGUAACCGCUUGGGAACAACACUACGUGCCGUUGGCG
rnacentral:rRNA from 1 species